GGGUUUUAAAAGAUACAUUUAUAAGUCAAUUCUUCCCAUGAUUCAUAAACUAAAAUUCAGGAUGUAGUUAAAACUGCAAUAAAUCAUCUGCAGACUUCAUUUCUGGAAGCAUGUGUAUUAAAAAAUAAAGGAAAUAGAUCUUCGGCCUUAUAAAACACUUUUAAAAAUAACUGUCUUGUAUAAUUAUACAAAUCAAUUUCUUUUAACUCAAAUUUAGAGAAGCUCAAACCUCUAUAUCAUACAGGUUUUCAGCAGUAUCAUGUUUUUCUUCAGUUUUUUACUUUUUUCAUUUUUCUUAAAUAUACUGCUGUGCCAAGAAAAAAUGUGUAAUAUAAAGGCU
rnacentral:lncRNA from 1 species